rnacentral:tRNA from 1 species
CUAUAAUAAGCUAAAAACUUUAAUAAGCUAUUAAACUUUUAAUUUAAUAAUGAAAUUUUAUUUUCUUAUAGA